rnacentral:misc_RNA from 1 species
UUCACGGCAAAAAAUGGAAAAUGUCCACUGUCCAAGGACAAGGAUGAACGAUCUCUUGAUUGCUUCCUCUUUCUACUAAACUUUCAAUUAAGAAAUGCAAUUAACCCAAAUCAAUAAAAAUUAGUGACACUCACUUCAACAAUCACAACUUCGCCAUUGAUUUUUCUCUCUCAAAAUCAGAUCUCCCUCCUUCUCUAUCUCAUCCUUUAAACCCUAGAGGAAAAUCCAUUUCUAGCUCUAUAGACUACAACAACUUAAGUCUCUAGCUUCACUAUUUCUCUCUGCAAUGGUGGUCUGCAAAUGCCGCAAGGCUACAAAACUAUAUUGUUUCGUUCAUAAGGUUCCUGUUUGUGGAGAAUGUAUCUGCUUCACGGAGCAUCAGAUAUGUGUGGUUCGUACUUACUCUGAGUGGGUAAUAGAUGGAGAGUAUGAUUGGCCUCCAAAAUGUUGCUCGUGCCAAGCUGUGCUUGAAGAGGGGAAUGAUUCUCAAACCACCCGAUUGGGUUGCCUGCACGUUUUACACACAAAUUGUUUGGUUUCCCAUAUCAAGAGCUUUCCUCCUCAUACUGCACCAGCUGGAUAUGUAUGCCCUUCAUGUUCCACAUCGAUAUGGCCUCCCAAGAGUGUCAAAGAUUCAGGAUCUCGUCUUCAUUCAAAGCUGAAGGAGGCUAUCAUGCAAACUGGUUUGGAAAAGAACUUAUUUGGAAAUCAUCCUGUUUCUUUGCCGGCACCACCUCCUGCAUUUGCCUCAGAUCCAUUGGUUGCCAUUUCUUCAUCGUCCUCACUGACAAAAGAUGAAAUAAAUAUAUCUGAAGGAUACUUAUCUGCAACUGGAACAGGGCCUCCUAAAAUUUCAGUACCAGAUAUUGUGGAAAUUGAUAGCCCCAGUUCAGCAGGGAAUUAUUUGCAGAGCGCCAGUCCCACUGGCCCUGGGGCUACAACACGAAAGGGCGGAAUCCAUGUUGACAGGCAGAAUUCAGAAAGUUCAUACUAUGCAGACGAUGAAGAUGGGAAUCGUAAAAAAUAUAGUCGAAGGGGUCCAUUCCGCCACAAGUUCCUUAGAGCAUUGCUUCCAUUCUGGUCAAGUGCAUUACCAACUUUACCAGUAACUGCACCUCCACGUAAGGAUGCAUCAAAUGCAGAUGAUGCCUCAGAAGGUCGUGCAAGGCAUCAAAGACCAUCAAGAAUGGAUCCAAGAAAAAUCCUUCUUUUUAUAGCUAUCAUGGCUUGCAUGGCAACUAUGGGUAUACUGUAUUACAGAAUCGCACAGCGGGGUUUUGAGGAAGAGCAGCCGGAUGAUGAGCAGCAGUAAUUCUUACUUGAGGUUGUGAUGGAAUUAUAGUGAUCAUUUAUUGUACCUGUAUAUGCAUGCCUGCCUGGUGGUUAAUGGUGAUUUUGCUAUUGCUGCUGCAUUUUGUGUGUGGCUCCUCCCGUGUGUGCAUCAGUACUUGUUUAUGAGUGAAAUGUAGAAGGGGAUAGAAGAGAGUUUUAUUUCUAGUGUCAAUGGCGGUAAAAUGUUGCAUGAUCUACCUUGACAAUGUUCCUCUUAGGCCAUUUUCAUUUUUGUCUAUUUGAAGCCAUUUUCAUUUUUUUUCUAUUUGAAAUCGAAUCUGAGGACCAGGUUAAAAGGAGG